GAUGAAGAACGUAGCGAAAUGCGAUAAGUAAUGUGAAUUGCAGAAUUCAGUGAAUCAUCGAGUCUUUGAACGCACAUUGCGCCCCCUGGUAUUCCGGGGGGCAUGCCUGUCCGAGCGUCAUUGCCGCCCUCAAGCACGGCUUGUGUGUUGGGCCCCCGCCCCCCGGCUUGGGGGGGCGGGCCCGAAAGGCAGCGGCGGCACCGCGUCCGGUCCUCGAGCGUAUGGGGCUUCGUCACCCGCUCUGUAGGCCCGGCCGGCGCCCGCCGGCGACCCCAAUCAAUCUUUCCAGGUUGACCUCGGAUCAGGUAGGGAUACCCGCUGAACUUAAGCAUAUCAAUAAGCGGAGGA
rnacentral:misc_RNA from 1 species